rnacentral:rRNA from 1 species
CCUACGGGAGGCAGCAGUAGGGAAUCUUCCACAAUGGGCGAAAGCCUGAUGGAGCAACGCCGCGUGGGUGAAGAAGGUCUUCGGAUCGUAAAACCCUGUUGUUCGAGAACAAAGUGCGUGAGAGCAACUGUUCACGUUUCGACGGUAUCUAACCAGAAAGCCACGGCAAAACACGUGCCAGCAGCCGUGGUAAUAAUUAGGUGGCAAGCGUUAUCCGGAUUGAUUGGGGGUAAAGGGAACGCAGGCGGCCCUUUAAGGCUGAUGUGAAAGCCUUCGGCUUAACCGGAGUAGUGCAUUGGAAACUGCGGGUCUUGAGUGAAGAAGAGGAGGGUGGAACUCCAAGUGUAGCGGUGAAAUGCGUAGAUAUAAGGAAGAACACCAGUGGCGAAGGCGGCUCUCUGGUCUGUAACUGACGCUGAGGUUCGAAAGCGUGGGUAGCAAACAGGAUUAGAUACCCCUGUAGUC